rnacentral:rRNA from 1 species
ACUCCUACGGGAGGCAGCAGUGGGGAAUAUUGCACAAUGGGCGCAAGCCUGAUGCAGCGACGCCGCGUGCGGGAUGAAGGCCUUCGGGUUGUAAACCGCUUUCAGCAGGGAAGAAGCGAAAGUGACGGUACCUGCAGAAGAAGCACCGGCUAACUAUGUGCCAGCAGCCGCGGUAAUAC